rnacentral:rRNA from 1 species
UUUUAACGGCCGCGGUACUCUGACCGUGNNCNGNUANNAUAAUCUUUUGCCUUAUAAUUGAAGGCUAGUANGAAUGGNUUGACAAGAAUAUANCUGUCUCUUUACAAUUUUGUANAAUUUUAUUUUUAGGUGAAAAAGCCUAAAUUAAAUUAAAAGACAAGAAAACCCUAUCGAGCUUUAAAAAAAUUGAUUGGUUUAAAUUACUUCUAUUAAUAGAAAGGUGUAACUAUUAAAUAUUUUGGUUGGGGCGACUGAGGAACNUAAAAAGCUUCCUUUAAAGUGCUAUAUCAACAUACGGGUAUUGAUCCAUAGUUAGUGAUUAAAGGAAUUAGUUACCGUAGGGAUAACAGCAUUAUCCUUUUUGAGAGUUCUAAUCGAANAAAGGGUUUGUGACCUCGAUGUUGGACCAGAAUGUCCUAAAGAUGCNNAAGUCUUUAAGGGUUGGUCUGUUCGACCAUUAAAAUUCUA